AGUAGAAUGGCUGGGUGAUAUGGUAGCUUUGACUUUUUAAGAAAGUGACAAACUCUUUUCCAAAGUGGUUGUACCAUUUUACGUUCCCAACAGCAGU
rnacentral:pre_miRNA from 1 species